rnacentral:ncRNA from 1 species
CAACGGAACAAGUUACCCCAGGGAUAACAGCGCAAUCCUAUUUGAGAGCCCAUAUCGAAAAUUAGGGUUUACGACCUCGAUGUUGGAUCAGGACACCCAAAUGGUGCAACCACUAUUAAAGGUUCGUUUGUUCAAUGAUUAAAGUCCUACGUGAUCUGAGUUCAGACUGGAGAAAUCCAGGUCGGUUUCUAUCUGUAAAUUCAUUUCUCCCAGUACAAAAGAACAAGAGAAAUAGGGCCAACGUCCCCAAUAAGCCCUAGAGCCAACAUAUGAAUCAAUCUAAAUAUACUAAAUCAAUUUGUGUGCCCCACCAAGAACAGGGUUGUUAAGAUGGCAGAGUUGGUAAUUGCAUAAAGUUUAAGCCUU